rnacentral:rRNA from 1 species
UACGGAAGGCAGCAGUGGGGAAUAUUGCACAAUGGGCGCAAGCCUGAUGCAGCCAUGCCGCGUGUAUGAAGAAGGCCUUCGGGUUGUAAAGUACUUUCAGUCGUGAGGAAGGUGUUAAGGUUAAUAACCUUAGCAAUUGACGUUAGCGACAGAAGAAGCACCGGCUAACUCCGUGCCAGCAGCCGCGGUAAUACGGAGGGUGCGAGCGUUAAUCGGAAUUACUGGGCGUAAAGGGCACGCAGGCGGUUAAUUAAGUUGGAUGUGAAAUCCCCGGGCUUAACCUGGGAAUGGCAUUCAAGACUGGUUAGCUAGAGUCUUGUAGAGGGGGUAGAAUUCCAUGUGUAGCGGUGAAAUGCGUAGAGAUGUGGAGGAAUACCGGGUGGCGAAGGCGGCCCCUGGGACAAAGACUGACGCUCAUGUGCGAAAGCGUGGGGAGCAAACAGGAUUAGAUA